CCCAUAAACAUUUAGAACAUUCUAGAGAGAGAAAGAGAGGAGAAACUUAGAGAAAAAUCAAUUUUGACCAAAAUCUAAGCCCCGAAUCGCGAAGCUCAUGAAGAGAAAAACGUUGUACGUUGCGUUGCCUUCAAUUUGAGCUAAAUAUUGAUCUUGGGGGAUGAAAUUUUCGUGGUGGAGCUGCUGCUAAGAUUUUGGCGAAUUUGAAACUUGAUUUUGGAGACGUGUAUGAAGCGGAAAAGGUCAACAGACAGACGGGUUUAAUCCCUAGGAGCUUCACCAGCUGUUCCUUGAGAGUGCUCCAGUUGAUCCGGAGCUUCAACCUAUUGGUACUACUUUUGUGUAUAUAAUCGGGCACGGCAGAACCCGGCCCUUCCUAUGUAUAUAUGCACUUUGUUUAGAGGCUCGUAGACAGAUAUGUACAGUUAGAUGUGUUGUAUUUUGGAAUGUUCACGUCGUCGUAUAACGUGAUAGCAAAGUUUACUAGUCUAUGUUUACGAUGAUGCUACUAAUGUUAAUGUUCAGUAACGAAAAAAAAAUAUAUGGCACAGUUCCUACGGCCCGCUGAGAAGUAAAGGUAAAACGAUAGAUAAGGGGUGCUCGGUACAAGUAUCAGGUACUCGUCACGGCCCCUAGUUGGGUCGUGAC